GUUGAACGCUGGCGGCAGGCUUAACACAUGCAAGUCGAGCGGAGAUGAGGUGCUUGCACCUUAUCUUAGCGGCGGACGGGUGAGUAAUGCUUAGGAAUCUGCCUAUUAGUGGGGGACAACAUUCCGAAAGGAAUGCAAAUACCGCAUACGUCCUACGGGAGAAAGCAGGGGAUCUUCGGACCUUGCGCUAAUAGAUGAGCCUAAGUCGGAUUAGCUAGUUGGUGGGGUAAAGGCCAACCAAGGCGACGAUCUGUAGCGGGUCUGAGAGGAUGAUCCGCCACACUGGGACUGAGACACGGCCCAGACUCCUACGGGAGGCAGCAGUGGGGAAUAUUGGACAAUGGGGGAAACCCUGAUCCAGCCAUGCCGCGUGUGUGAAGAAGGCCUUAUGGUUGUAAAGCACUUUAGGCGAGGAGGAGGCUACUGAGACUAAUACUCUUGGAUAGUGGACGUUACUCGCAGAAUAAGCACCGGCUAACUCUGUGCCAGCCGCCGCGGUAA
rnacentral:rRNA from 1 species